UGCCAGCAGCCGCGGUAAGACGAACCGGACAAACGUUAUUCGGAAUUACUGGGCUUAAAGAGUACGUAGGCGGCUUUGUAGGUUGGGUGUGAAAUCCCACAGCUCAACUGUGGAACUGCGCUCAAAACCACAAGGCUUGAGGGAAGCAGAGGUAAGCGGAACUGAUGGUGGAGCGGUGAAAUGCGUUGAUAUCAUCAGGAACACCAGUGGCGAAGGCGGCUUACUGGGCUUCUACUGACGCUGAGGUACGAAAGCUAGGGUAGCGAACGGGAUUAGAUA
rnacentral:rRNA from 1 species